GACGAACGCUGGCGGCGUGCUUAACACAUGCAAGUCGAACGAAGAGCGAUGGAAGCUUGCUUCUAUCAAUCUUAGUGGCGCACGGGUGAGUAACGCGUAAUCAACCUGCCCUUCAGAGGGGGACAACAGUUGGAAACGACUGCUAAUACCGCAUACGAUCCAAUCUCGGCAUCGGGACUGGAUGAAAGGCGGCCUCUAUUUAUAAGCUAUCACUGAAGGAGGGGAUUGCGUCUGAUUAGCUAGUUGGAUGGGUAACGGCCCACCAAGGCGAUGAUCAGUAGCCGGUCUGAGAGGAUGAACGGCCACAUUGGGACUGAGACACGGCCCAGACUCCUACGGGAGGCAGCAGUGGGGAAUCUUCCGCAAUGGACGAAAGUCUGACGGAGCAACGCCGCGUGAGUGAUGACGGCCUUCGGGUUGUAAAGCUCUGUUAAUCGGGACGAAUGGUUCUUGUGCGAAUAGUGCGAGGAUUUGACGGUACCGGAAUAGAAAGCCACGGCUAACUACGUG
rnacentral:rRNA from 1 species